rnacentral:rRNA from 1 species
GAGGGGUGCAAGCGUUAUUCGGAAUCAUUGGGCGUAAAGGGUGUGUAGACGGUAUGUUAAGUCCGCUGCUAAAUUUUUCGGCCUAACCGAAAACCUGCAGUAGAUACUGGCGUACUAGAGGGUGGAAGAGAGAAGUGGAAUUCUCGGAGUAGCGGUAAAAUGCGUAGAUCUCGAGAGGAACACCGAUGGCGAAGGCAGCUUCUUGGUCCAUUUCUGACGUUGAGACACGAAAGCGUGGGGAGCGAACAGGGAUUAGAUACCCUGGUAGUCCACGCUGUAAACGAUGAUCACUAGACGUUAGUCCCCGUUUUACGGGAUUAGUGUCGUAGCUAACGCGCUAAGUGAUCCGCCUGGGGAUACGGUCGCAAGAUUA